rnacentral:lncRNA from 1 species
ACAACAUUUUAUUUCAUCUCAAUUGUGAAAGAUCUAAAAAUCAUACACAGUGCAAAACAAUAAUAAGUAUGUAAAUGUGAUAAAAAUGUUCCUUGAAAAGGUACUACACAAUCAACAAACUUGCUUCUGCUUGCUUCAGAGAGAUCUCAACGAUACAGUUCGUGUCAUAGAUCUCAGAAUAAUUUUACACAGUAUUUUAGAUUUAACUUUCAACAGACUUCAAUCUUAUUUUCAUACCAUUACCUGGCACCAAAUAAGAUAUAUUUUUUUCAACUUACAGUAACUGGGACGUGUCAUAAAUAUUUUUUAAAAUUUUGUAUGAAACAUAUGUUUGUUUAACAUAAACUUAAAAUCGGAAAAUAACGUUUUUUGCAUAUUUUCGAAAUAUAAUUGAAUGAAAAUAAUAAAAUGAUAAAUGUUCAUUUGUAUGGAUAAAAUUGAUAAAAAGUGAUCUUAAAUUAUAUCAAUCAUCAAUAUUUCAAAAAUCAAUCCAUAGAUGUUUCUUUAAUAUUGGUGCAAGUUGGUGCUACAUAAAUAUUCGUUUGAUUGAUAUCAAGUAAUCGUAGAAUUACCC